rnacentral:rRNA from 1 species
CCUACGGGAGGCAGCAGUGGGGAAUUUUGGACAUGGGGGCACCCUGAUCCAGCCAUUCCGCGUGAGUGAAGAAGGCCUUCGGGUUGUAAAGCUCUUUUGUCCGGAGCGAAACGGGCGGCCCUAAUACGGUCGUCUACUGACGGUACCGGAAGAAUAAGCACCGGCUAACUACGUGCCAGCAGCCGCGGUAAUACGUAGGGUGCGAGCGUUAAUCGGAAUUACUGGGCGUAAAGCGUGCGCAGGCGGUUUUGUAAGCCAGAUGUGAAAUCCCCGGGCUCAACCUGGGAAUGGCAUUUGGGACUGCAAGGCUGGAGUGUGGCAGAGGGGACUAGAAUUCCUGGUGUAGCAGUGAAAUGCGUAGAUAUCAGGAGGAAUACCGAUGGCGAAGGCAGGUCCCUGGGUUAACACUGACGCUCAUGCACGAAAGCGUGGGGAGCAAACAGGAUUAGAUACCCUGGUAGUCCACGCCCUAAACGAUGUCGACUGGUUGUUGGGGGUUGACACUCUCAGUAACGAAGCUAACGCGUGAAGUCGACCGCCUGGGGAGUACGGCCGCAAGGUUAAACUCAAAGGAAUUGACGG